UGAGGAAUAUUGGUCAAUGGGGGCAACCCUGAACCAGCCAAGUCGCGUGAAGGAUGAAGGUCUUAUGGAUUGUAAACUUCUUUUACACGGGAAUAAAGUGGGGGACGUGUCCCCCUUUGCAUGUACCGUGUGAAUAAGGAUCGGCUAACUCCGUGCCAGCAGCCGCGGUAAUACGGAGGAUCCGAGCGUUAUCCGGAUUUAUUGGGUUUAAAGGGUGCGCAGGCGGGAUGUUAAGUCGGCGGUGAAAUUUUGCAGCUCAACUGUAAAAGUGCCUUCGGUUCUGGGCUCCGUGGGUGUGGAAGAAGUAGGCGGAAUUUGUGGGGGAGCGGGGAAAUGCUUAGGUAUCACGAGGAACUCCGAUUGCGCAGGCAGCUUACUAAGCCACAACUGACGCUCAUGCACGAAGGCGUGGGGAUCAAACA
rnacentral:rRNA from 1 species